AUAUCUGAAUUUUUUUUAAUGGUGAGAAAAAAAUCAGAUUUCUUUUUUUAAUGGUGGGAAAAUAUCUGGGGUUUUUUUAACAGUGGAAAAAAUAUCUGAAUUUUUUUUAAUGGUGGAAAAAUAUCUGAAUUUGUUUAAUGGUGAGAAAAAAUCUGAUUUUUUUUAAUAUAGGGAAAAUAUCUGAAUUUAAAUGGUGGGAAAAUAUCUGAUUUUUUUUAAUGGUGGGGAAAAAAAUCUGAAUUUAAUUUUAAUGGUGGGGGAAUACCUGUGGGGCUGACUGGAGCCUGUCCCUCUGUGCCUGUCCCCAGUGGUGUACGAGCACCGGUCCCGCCUGGAGCGAUCCCUGCAGAAGGAGAGGGGCGAGCACAAGAAGACCAAGGAAGAUUUCUUGGUGUACAAGCUGGAGGCUCAGGAAGCUCUCAACAAGGAGAAGGUGGGGGUGCUUUGUCCUGGCCUUGGUGCCAGGGGGGAAUCCUUCCUGUGCCCCCGGGCAGGGCAGGGCAGGGCAGGGCAGGGAGGGCUCCUGGCACGGCUGAGCCCUGGGCUGGAGCUCUGCUGCUGCCACUCCAGAUUCCUGUGGGACACAGAGCCCCGUGCUGCCCUGGGGCCCUGGAGAAGCUUCCAGAAUGGAAUGGUGGAGCUGGGAUUGUGGGGGUGGAGAGUUUGGAUAGAAGGGUGUGAUGUCACAG
rnacentral:lncRNA from 1 species